rnacentral:piRNA from 1 species
UACUUGACACAGUACAGGUGGUAUUCGC